rnacentral:rRNA from 1 species
GUGCCAGCAGCCGCGGUAAUACGUAGGGCGCGAGCGUUGUCCGGAAUUAUUGGGCGUAAAGAGCUUGUAGGCGGUUUGUCGCGUCUGCUGUGAAAGGCCGGGGCUUAACCCCGUGUAUUGCAGUGGGUACGGGCAGACUAGAGUGCAGUAGGGGAGACUGGAACUCCUGGUGUAGCGGUGAAAUGCGUAGAGAUGUGGAGGAAUACCGAAGGCGAAGGCAGCCCCUUGGGGAUGUACUGACGCUGAUGUGCGAAAGCGUGGGGAGCAAACAGGAUUAGAUACCCUGGUAGUCCACGCUGUAAACGGUGUCGAUUUGGGGAUUGGGGUUUAGCCCUGGUGCCCGAAGCUAACGUGAUAAAUCGACCGCCUGGGGAGUACGGCCGCAAGGUUAAAACUCAAAUGAAUUGACGGGGGCCCGCACAAGCGGUGGAGCAUGUGGUUUAAUUCGAUGCAACGCGAAGAACCUUACCUACUCUUGAC